AAUCUCAUUUUUGAACUGUAUCAAGUAAAUAUGGGCAGUCUCUGGACAAAGGAUCUGUCUUUAAUUUUUAUUGACAACCUUGAAAGAAUGUACAAGGUUAUUCUGUAAGAGACUCACAUUCAAAGUGCUCUGCAUAUUUCCACAUUGCCGGAAAACAUUACAAAUCAUGUCUGCCCUUGAUGGGAUAACAAGAGCUCUCAAAUGAUGAAGUACUUAUCCGUAACUGGGCAUUCUCUUUAAGCAACAGAUUCAAAACAAAGGAACAGGAAUGGACUGUGAAAUUUUGUACCAAAUCAUAAAGACCUGGGUAAAGGAUAUUCUUCAUCAGCAUUAAUAAUUCCCAAAAUAUGGACUGGACUAAUAGACCCAAAAGACUAAAUGAACCAAACCACGAAUCAUUCUGACCCAAAGGCUAAUGUUUCCGCACAAAAUAAUCAUUUAUCCAUGUUUUAAGAAUGGACCC